GAUGAACGCUGGCGGCGUGCCUCAAACAUGCAAGUCGAGCGAGGCUAUGAAUUACCGCAAGGUAAGGCAUAGCCUAGCGGCGAACGGGUGAGUAACACGUGGGUAACCUACCUGGAAGACAGGGAUAACGAUUCGAAAGGGUCGCUAAUACCUGAUAAUAUCCAUCUGCCGGAUGGCGGAGGGAAGAAAGGGGAAACCCGCUUUCAGAUGGGCCCGCGUCCCAUCAGCUAGUUGGUAAGGUAAAGGCUUACCAAGGCGACGACGGGUAGCCGGUCUGAGAGGAUGUACGGCCACACUGGGACUGAGAUACGGCCCAGACUCCUACGGGAGGCAGCAGUUGGGAAUCUUAGGCAAUGGACGAAAGCGUGACGCAGCAACACCGCGUGAGGGAAGACGGCCUUAGGGUUGUAAACCUCUUUCAGAUGGGACGAAGGUGAUGCGGUGAAUAGCCGAUGUCAUUGACGGUACCGUCAGAAGAAGCUCCGGCUAACUACGUGCCAGC
rnacentral:rRNA from 1 species